UACGGGGGGGGCAAGCGUUGUUCGGAAUUACUGGGCGUAAAGGGCUCGUAGGCGGUUUGUCGCGUCGGGAGUGAAAACCAGGUGCUUAACACCUGGCUUGCUUUCGAUACGGGCAGACUAGAGGUAUUCAGGGGAGAACGGAAUUCCUGGUGUAGCGGUGAAAUGCGCAGAUAUCAGGAGGAACACCGGUGGCGAAGGCGGUUCUCUGGGAAUGACCUGACGCUGAGGAGCGAAAGUGUGGGGAGCGAACAGG
rnacentral:rRNA from 1 species